UGGUUCGGUGCCGUGGACUACCAAUUCCCGCCGGAAGAACGCCAGGGCGCCUACGAAGAGGAAGGACAC
rnacentral:ribozyme from 1 species